UACGUAGGUGGCAAGCGUUGUCCGGAUUUACUGGGCGUAAAGAGCGCGUAGGCGGUUUGUCAAGUCCGCGGUGAAAUCUCCCGGCCCAACCGGGAGGGGUCCGCGGAUACUGGCAGGCUAGAGGGAGGCAGAGGAAGGUGGAAUUCCCGGUGUAGCGGUGAAAUGCGUAGAUAUCGGGAGGAACGCCCGUGGCGAAAGCGGCCUUCUAGGCCUUUCCUGACGCUGAGGCGCGAAAGCGUGGGGAGCAAACCGGAUUAGAACCACC
rnacentral:rRNA from 1 species